UAGAAGGAUGUUGAAUGUUUGGGAUGAAA
rnacentral:piRNA from 1 species